UACGUAGGGUGCAAGCGUUAAUCGGAAUUACUGGGCGUAAAGCGUGCGUAGGCGGUCCGCGAAGUCUGAUGUGAAAGCCCCGGGCUCAACCUGGGAACUGCAUUGGAAACUAACGGGCUCGAGUGUGGCAGAGGGGGGUGGAAUUCCACGUGUAGCAGUGAAAUGCGUAGAGAUGUGGAGGAACACCGAUGCGAAGGCAGCCCCCUGGGCUAACACUGACGCUCAGGCACGAAAGCGUGGGGAGCAAACAGG
rnacentral:rRNA from 1 species